UGGACCCGCGGUGCAUUAGCUAGUUGGUGAGGUAACGGCUCACCAAGGCCACGAUGCAUAGCCGACCUGAGAGGGUGAUCGGCCACAUUGGGACUGAGACACGGCCCAAACUCCUACGGGAGGCAGCAGUAGGGAAUCUUCGGCAAUGGACGAAAGUCUGACCGAGCAACGCCGCGUGAGUGAAGAAGGUUUUCGGAUCGUAAAACUCUGUUGUUAGAGAAGAACAAGGAUGAGAGUAACUGUUCAUCCCUUGACGGUAUCUAACCAGAAAGCCACGGCUAACUACGUGCCAGCAGCCGCGGUAAUACGUAGGUGGCAAGCGUUGUCCGGAUUUAUUGGGCGUAAAGCGAGCGCAGGCGGUUUCUUAAGUCUGAUGUGAAAGCCCCCGGCUCAACCGGGGAGGGUCAUUGGAAACUGGGAGACUUGAGUGCAGAAGAGGAGAGUGGAAUUCCAUGUGUAGCGGUGAAAUGCGUAGAUAUAUGGAGGAACACCAGUGGCGAAGGCGGCUCUCUGGUCUGUAACUGACGCUGAGGCUCGAAAGCGUGGGGAGCAAACAGGAUUAGAUACCCUGGUAGUCCACGCCGUAAACGAUGAGUGCUAAGUGUUGGAGGGUUUCCGCCCUUCAGUGCUGCAGCUAACGCAUUAAGCACUCCGCCUGGGGAGUACGACCGCAAGGUUGAAACUCAAAGGAAUUGACGGGGGCCCGCACAAGCGGUGGAGCAUGUGGUUUAAUUCGAAGCAACGCGAAGAACCUUACCAGGUCUUGACAUCCUUUGACCACUCUAGAGAUAGAGCUUCCCCUUCGGGGGCAAAGUGACAGGUGGUGCAUGGUUGUCGUCAGCUCGUGUCGUGAGAUGUUGGGUUAAGUCCCGCAACGAGCGCAACCCUUAUUGUUAGUUGCCAUCAUUCAGUUGGGCACUCUAGCAAGACUGCCGGUGACAAACCGGAGGAAGGUGGGGAUGACGUCAAAUCAUCAUGCCCCUUAUGACCUGGGCUACACACGUGCUACAAUGGGAAGUACAACGAGUUGCGAAGUCGCGAGGCUAAGCUAAUCUCUUAAAGCUUCUCUCAGUUCGGAUUGCAGGCUGCAACUCGCCUGCAUGAAGCCGGAAUCGCUAGUAAUCGCGGAUCAGCACGCCGCGGUGAAUACGUUCCCGGGCCUUGUACACACCGCCCGUCACACCACGAGAGUUUGUAACACCCGAAGUCGGUGAGGUAACCUUUUGGAGCCAGCCGCCUAAGGUGGGAUAGAUGAUUGGGGUGAAGUCGUAACAAGGUAGCCGUAUCGGAAGGUGCGGCUGGAUCACCUCCUUU
rnacentral:rRNA from 1 species